rnacentral:rRNA from 1 species
CGGCGGGGAGCUUCUUUCCCGGGAAACCAAAGCUUUUGGGUUCCGGGGGAAGUAUGGUUGCAAAGCUGAAACUUAAAGGAAUUGACGGAAGGGCACCACCAGGAGUGGAGCCUGCGGCUUAAUUUGACUCAACACGGGAAACCUCACCAGGCCAGGACAUUGGAAGGAUUGACAGAUUGAUAGCUCUUUCUUGAUUCAGUGGGUAGUGGUGCAUGACCGUUCUUAGUUGGUGGAUCGAUUUGUCUGGUUAAUUCCGAUAACGAACGAGACUCUAGCCUAUUAACUAGGCGUUUUCCGGUGUCCCCGCCACCGGCGACAAUCAUUCUUCUUAAGGGGACAGGCGGCUUUUAGCCGCACGAGAUUGAGCAAUAACAGGUCUGUGAUGCCCUUAGAUGUCCUGGGCCGCACGCGCGCUACACUGAAGGAAUCAGCGUGUGCCUCCCUGGCCGAAAGGCCCGGGUAAUCCGCUGAACCUCCUGCGUGCUAGGAAUUGGGGCUUGCAAUUGUUCCCCAUGAACGAGGAAUUCCCAGUAAGCGCGAGUCAUAAGCUCGCGUUGAUUACGUCCCUGCCCUUUGUACACACCGCCCGUCGCUACUACCGAUUGAAUGAUUUAGUGAGGUCUUCGGACUGGCGGUAAUCCCUACCGACUCGUCGGUAUCGAUGAACGCUGGAAAGAUGACCAAACUUGAUCAUUUAGAGGAAGUAAAAGUCGUAACAAGGUUUCCGUAGG